GACGAACGCUGGCGGCGUGCUUAACACAUGCAAGUCGAACGGAAAGGCCCUGCUUUUCUUGUGUGCUGGAGGGGCGAGAGGGUGAGUAACACGUGAGUAACCUGCCCUUUACUUCUGGAAAACUUCAGGAAACCGGGGCUAAUACCGGAUAGGAGCUCUUGCUCCAUGGGGUGGGUUGGAAAGUUUGGGCGGUGGGGGAUGUACUCGUGGAUUAGCAGCUUGUUGGUGGGGUAGUGGGUUACCAAGGCUGUGACGGGUAGCCGGCCUGGGAGGGUGAACGGGCACAAGGGGACUGAGGGAGGGCCCAGAAGCCUACGGGAGGCAGCAGGGGGGAGUAUUACGCAAUGGGGGGAAGCCUGAGGCGGCGACGCCGGGUGCGGGAUGACGGCCUUCGGGUGGUAAACAGAUUUCGACUGUGAUGAAGCGUUAGUGACGGUAAUGGGUAAAGAAGCACCGGCUAACUACGUG
rnacentral:rRNA from 1 species